GCUUGCGAUCAGUCUCGACGGCGGCCGCUCGGCCCCUCUUAUGAGUGGUUUACUCGGCCGCCGCCGGGCCAGCAUCGGUUUCGGGGGUCGGACAAAGGCGGCGGGAACGUGGCCCCUCCGGGGGUGUUAUAGCCCGCCGCGCAAUACGGCCACCCGGGACCGAGGUCCGCGCUUCGGCUAGGAUGCUGGCGAAAUGGUCGUAAGCGG
rnacentral:rRNA from 1 species